CGCCGAGGAGCGAUGAAAAAAAUGGAGAAUUGGUUGUUGGUCUCGGUGAGGCUGAGGUACCAGUAUGAGCUAGAAAGAGCCGAAGAGGAAUAGGGAAUUGGGAUUGGAAUUGCAAGGAAAACAAGGUGAGACAGAACAAGGAGGAAGAAAAGGGUGAGCCUUACUUUGAGAGACGAAGAGGAGGUUGGUGGAAUGGGAGAAAUGGAGGAUGAGUUUGAGCUGUUUAAUUAAAGAAGAAAGUGGGUUUGUGCGGCAGAGAAAAAGAAAGAGUUGGUAUAUGUGGAUGGGGGACAUACGGUUGGUGGUAGGUUCUCAAAAAAAUUCAUAGCACAUGGCUCAUAUGGAUGGGGUGAGUACGUAAGGUAAGGUAAAAAAAUCAUAGCAGCACAUCAGAGGUGGUUUCCCACUAAAAAAAAACUGAUAUUUUGAUAUCUGAAAAAUAUAAAAAUUUCUAUAUUAUUAUUGCAUUUGCAUCAUCCUGGUAAAGAAAUUAGAGAAAUAUCUAGAAAAAUGGAAGUCACGCAGGCAUGCCCUUUUUGGUAUUGAUUGGAUUGGGAUUGGCAGUCACGGGAGGCGCACUUAUCGUUCAACUCCCUAUAAAAUGCUGCGCAAAGCUCUCAGAUAGUGUCAUAGUGGCCAUUGAAACUUUCAGUGUGAGAGAGAGAGAGAGACUGUGAGACACCCCAACGCAAGAUAAGAUUCAACCACACCCCUUCUUCUCUUCCAGCCCCAGAUUCCCAGAGAUCAGAGAUGGCAUCGGUGCAUAGUGCCUUGACAUCAGUUGUUUGCAAGAAUGGCAAUCAUUCUUCCCCUGCAAAGUUCCCGAGUACUCCCUUCUUGUCUGGGUUUGAUGCUGUGGGGCGUCUUUCAAGCCCAUUUAAGAAGGAGAUAUGUCUGAGUUCCAUCAGCUCAGGUCCUAAGGCCACUUUAACUUUUGAUCCUCCAGCAACCAAUUCAGAGAAAGCCAAGGUACCCAACCUACCGAGGCAUACAAUCGAUCCUGCUUCUCCUGAUUUCCUGCCUCUUCCAUCCUUCGAACAGUGUUUUCCAAAGAGCACAAAAGAACAAAGGGAAGUUAUUCAUGAAGAAACUGGUCAUGUGCUCAAAGUUCCCUUUCGACGAGUUCACCUGUCUGGAGAUGAACCAGCCUUUGAUAACUAUGACACCAGUGGUCCGCAAAACAUUAACCCACGUGUUGGGCUCCCUCAACUAAGGAAAGAUUGGGUUGACAGGCGAGAGAAAUUAGGUACACCAAGAUACACUCAGAUGUACUAUGCUAAGCAGGGAAUUAUCACUGAGGAAAUGUUGUACUGUGCCACCCGUGAGAAGCUUGAUCCAGAGUUUGUGAGAUCUGAAGUGGCUCGUGGGAGGGCAAUUAUCCCUUCCAAUAAGAAGCACUUGGAGCUUGAGCCAAUGAUUGUUGGGAGAAAGUUUCUGGUCAAAGUUAAUGCAAAUAUAGGAAACUCUGCUGUUGCCAGCUCUAUCGAAGAGGAAGUUUAUAAGGUCCAAUGGGCAACUAUGUGGGGUGCUGACACUGUUAUGGACCUCUCUACAGGUCGCCAUAUCCAUGAGACCCGUGAGUGGAUCCUACGUAACUCUGCUGUACCAGUAGGGACUGUACCCAUCUAUCAAGCACUUGAAAAGGUAGAUGGAAUCGCAGAAAAUCUUAACUGGGAAGUGUUCAGACAAACUCUGAUUGAACAAGCUGAGCAGGGUGUAGAUUACUUCACCAUCCAUGCUGGGGUUCUACUACGGUACAUCCCACUAACAGCAAAGCGUAUGACAGGAAUUGUCUCUCGAGGAGGAUCCAUUCAUGCAAAGUGGUGCUUAGCUUAUCAUAAAGAGAAUUUUGCUUAUGAGCACUGGGAUGACAUACUUGACAUCUGUAAUCAAUAUGAUGUUGCCCUGUCAAUAGGUGAUGGCUUGAGACCCGGUUCCAUUUAUGAUGCCAAUGAUACUGCACAGUUCGCGGAGCUCUUAACUCAGGGAGAACUGACCCGUAGGGCAUGGGAAAAGGAUGUGCAGGUAAUGAAUGAAGGACCUGGACAUGUUCCAAUGCACAAGAUUCCUGAGAACAUGGCAAAACAGCUGGAAUGGUGUAAUGAAGCGCCUUUCUACACUCUCGGUCCUUUGACAACUGAUAUUGCUCCUGGAUAUGAUCACAUCACCUCUGCCAUUGGUGCUGCCAAUAUUGGCGCUCUAGGCACUGCCCUUCUCUGCUAUGUAACCCCUAAAGAGCAUCUUGGAUUGCCCAAUCGGGAUGACGUGAAGGCUGGAGUUAUAGCAUAUAAAAUAGCUGCUCAUGCUGCUGAUCUAGCCAAAGGUCAUCCACAUGCUCAAGAGUGGGAUGACGCAUUAAGCAAGGCAAGAUUUGAGUUCCGGUGGAUGGACCAGUUUGCUUUGUCUCUAGACCCUAUGACUGCCAUGUCCUUCCAUGAUGAAACCCUGCCUGCAGAAGGUGCCAAGGUGGCCCAUUUUUGCUCUAUGUGUGGGCCAAAGUUCUGUUCUAUGAAGAUAACAGAGGAUGUUAGGAAGUAUGCUGAGGAGCAUGGUUAUGGAACUGCUGAGGAAGCUGUGAAGCGUGGUAUGGAAGCCAUGAGUGCUGAGUUUCUUGCUGCCAAGAAAACUGUCAGUGGAGAACAACAUGGUGAAAUUGGUGGAGAAAUUUACUUGCCAGAAAGUUAUGUAAAAUCCUCAGAGAGGUGAAGGAUCAAGUGUAACCAGAACCAGUUUGACAACCCUGGAGGCUUUCAUCCAUGAUUGGCUUGUCCAGAACGGAGAUCUUAGGUUUUCAUUUUCAUUCUGUGGUAUAGACCAGUAGUUGGGUUGAAGUACUUUCCAAGACUUCUAUCUAUCUUUUUUCUGCUUGGGUGCCUGUAUUUGCUCGAGCUCUGGCUCUUUGGCUGGGAUUUGAGCAGGUCAGGCUGAGAUAGUCCCUUUGAACCUGAACAGGUUAAUGCCUGCGUAGGGAGUGUGCAUUUCUUUUUCCUGUCUAUCACAGGGAGAGAGGUUCAUGGCUCGGGCUAGCUGAUUAGUCACGUACAAGGCUGGGAGCAGCUGGCAGGCAAUUCUAUGAUGCUUGCUCUUCUUUAAGAAAGCUUUGCCAAACAGGAAAGCUAUGCGAUAUUAACCCCAUAAAUUUCCUGCAGAGUAUAGUAAACCUUAUUUCUUUCCUCUCUUGUCUACUCCAGUUGUCCUUGGAACUCGGUUUUAGAUUCAUUGGUAAACUUAUUUGAACUAAUACUAAAUUCAAUAGUAAGCUACUAUUCAACCAUAA